rnacentral:rRNA from 1 species
GAGCAGGUCUGUUCGAGCGUCCG